rnacentral:lncRNA from 1 species
AGUUUCAAGGGAAAUUAAUUUCAUUCAUUUUCCCCCAGUUGUUUGGGAGGAGGAGAACGGAGGGGAACAGGCCCAAGUGUCGGGUCAGUGUGAAGGUGUUCGGCAAUGAGCUCAGCGUGUUCACAUGUGAAGAUCUCUACAAUCAACUCGACCAGCUGUCGCUGAGCGUGGCAGGGAUGGCUGUCAAACUGCUAAAGGGUCAGGAGGUUCAGCUGAACCACAGGGCCGUGCUGAUGACAGACGAGCUGGUUUUACCGUCUCUGUCCGGUUUGCCCGUCAAAUUGGGCAUCAAUAUGACCUCCUUCCUGUCGCUGCGUCUGAAGGGCAAUGUCAACUACAGGGAUACUUCUCACUUCUCCCUGACUGGAUACAUAAAACCCAAUGCCUAUGUGGGGCUGUCUGCCAGGAUGGGGGUUGAUGGUGCGUUGGGUCAGGCUGCAGUAGACUGGGUCUCUGAGCUGAGGAGCUCCACCAGUCUGGAUGGCAGUGUUCAGCUGCAGGAGGGGCGGGAUAUCAGGGUCACACUUAACACACCAGAGGAUGUCAUGGACAUCAUCUCUCUCAGGUAAGUGUGGGUAUUUAUAACCAAGAUUGAGGGGGUG